UUUUCACUAUACCCCAAAUGAGGUAAUUUAGCAAAUUAGCCAAAAAGUGUUUUCACUACAAAUUAUCUCAUUUGGACUGACAAGAAGUGUCAACACUAAAAUUUGAAUUUGACGUGUAAGGCAUAUGUUGACGAUUGACACAUUUAAAUGUUUAAUUAUUCAAAGAAUUAAUAAAAUGGAAUAAUCCAAAGAGGUUCUGGAUAAAGCCUUUUCUUCUUCAUUAUUCUGACUUUCUGAGCAUUUGCAAUCUCGCUGUCGAAGGGAAAGAGAAAUCAUUACCUACCCAACAUUUGGUAAUUGUGGCAUUAUACCGUUUACCCAACCUCGGACAUGAUUAUGGAGCAGGUUGAUGCAGAUACUCUUGCAAAGCUCGUGACAGCAUUAACCAACAUCAAACCAGAAAACAAAAUGAUGCCGUCCCGCUGCUCCAAAACUUUGGCAAAGAUCAUCAAUGCCAGUGAGGACAGACUUUCCUUGGUUAUUGGGCUCGAUUCCCGCAAGACCAGAAAACACUUUUAAACUUUGAA